rnacentral:tRNA from 1 species
UCCCUGGCAGUCCAGUGGUUAAGACUUUGCACUUCCACUGCAGAGGGCUCGGGUUUGAUUCCUAGCUGGGGAG